rnacentral:rRNA from 1 species
CCCUCCCUCUGGCGGCAUGCCUAACACAUGCAAGUCGAACGAGACCUUCGGGUCUAGUGGCGCACGGGUGCGUAACGCGUGGGAACCUGCCCUUAGGUUCGGAAUAACUCCCCGAAAGGGGUGCUAAUACCGGAUAAUGUCUUCGGACCAAAGAUUUAUCGCCUUUGGAUGGGCCCGCGUUGGAUUAGCUAGUUGGUAGGGUAAAAGCCUACCAAGGCGACGAUCCAUAGCUGGUCUGAGAGGAUGAUCAGCCACACUGGGACUGAGACACGGCCCAGACUCCUACGGGAGGCAGCAGUGGGGAAUAUUGGACAAUGGGCGAAAGCCUGAUCCAGCAAUGCCGCGUGAGUGAUGGAGGCCUUAGGGUUGUAAAGCUCUUUUACCCGGGAUGAUAAUGACAGUACCGGGAGAAUAAGCUCCGGCUAACUCCGUG